rnacentral:rRNA from 1 species
UACAGAGGGUGCGAGCGUUAAUCGGAAUUACUGGGCGUAAAGGGCGCGUAGGUGGUUAAUUAAGUCAGAUGUGAAAUCCCCGGGCUUAACCUGGGAAUGGCAUAUGAAACUGAUUAGCUAGAGUUUGGGAGAGGGAAGUGGAAUUUCAGGUGUAGCGGUGAAAUGCGUAGAUAUCAGAAGGAACACCAGUGGCGAAGGCGGCUUCCUGGCCAGAAACUGACACUGAGGCGCGAAAGCGUGGGGAGCAAACAGG